UACAGAGGUCCCAAGCGUUGUUCGGAUUCACUGGGCGUAAAGGGUGCGUAGGCGGUCGGGUAAGUCUGAUGUGAAAUCUCACAGCUUAACUGUGAAACUGCAUUGGAUACUAUCCGGCUUGAGAGUUGGAGGGGGGGGACUGGAAUUCUUGGUGUAGCAGUGAAAUGCGUAGAUAUCAAGAGGAACACCAGUGGCGAAGGCGAGUCCCUGGACAACUUCUGACGCUGAGGCACGAAAGCUAGGGGAGCAAACAGG
rnacentral:rRNA from 1 species